AUACGGAGGGUGCAAGCGUUAAUCGGAAUUACUGGGCGUAAAGCGCGCGUAGGCGGUUUGUUAAGUCGGAUGUGAAAUCCCCGGGCUCAACCUGGGAACUGCAUUCGAAACUGGCGAGCUAGAGUAUGCUAGAGGAUAGUGGAAUUCCGGGUGUAGCGGUGAAAUGCGUAGAUAUCCGGAGGAACAUCAGUGGCGAAGGCGGCUAUCUGGACCAAUACUGACGCUGAGGUGCGAAAGCGUGGGGAGCAAACAGGAUUAGAAACCCUAGUAGUCC
rnacentral:rRNA from 1 species